rnacentral:lncRNA from 1 species
UAAUUACAGCAUCAGCCUUUGGAACAAAAUCAAACAUGUCACCUCCAACAUUCUCAAUGCGGUCACACUCCUGAGCAACAGACACAACAUGAGGAAGAUCAAAGUUGAUGCCUCGAAUCCAAGGACAUGCCUCAAUUAACAAGCGCAAAGUAGUCCCAUCACCCCCGCCCACAUCUACGAUUUUCUCAAUCCCUUUGAACACCUCUGAACAACUUUCAAUCACUGCAGGCACAGCCACCCUUGCAUCACAAGCCAUUGCUUCAUUGAAAAGCUUGCUGUG